ACCAGUUCACUUUUACGAAAUCUGCUUGAUGUUAUUGAGGAAGUACAGAUAGCACGGUUAGAAAUUAGGGGUCUGAUUCUUACUAGCUUCCGUUCUCCAUCUGGUACACUAUUAUCUCCUCUUUAUUAUGUUUCUUAAAUUUGUGGUUGUGAUGCCGUGGGCUGAAAUUCUUGCUUUGAGAAUUUGACUUUUGAUUCUUUUCUUCAGGAAAAAAAAGUAGAGAUGAUGGAUGACUAGAUCAUAUUUCUUGUUUGAUAUAAUGCCUUUUGAAACCUAUGCAUGCUUAUCCUGCUACGAACUGUUUUACUUAUUAUUUUGUUUUUAUUUAUUGGAAUGGAGCUUAGCGUUUUGGGUGCUCUUGUUUUUAUUUAUGAGUGGUAGGAUAUAAGUCAUAAAACUAGGGAAGGAAAAGUUUUUCUAUUUCCAGGACUCUUUCUUCAGUUAGUUUAACAUAUUCAAGGUAAAGGCUUUUUAAUGAUAGCUGGUGCAAGACCAUUCAAAGUUUUAGUGUUCCUCUCUUUUCCGGUUUGUUUAAGUGUGGUUGUAAAAAGUUUUGGCAUAGCCCACACAUGGCUUGGUGAAGUUAAAUCUAUGCAAAAAUGGUUAGUGUUGAUUAAAAUUAAAAAAUGCAGUAAACUGUCUUUUAUCUUUGGUUUAUUGAAUUCACAGAUAUUGUUGAAAACUAGUCAACAUAAAGUAAUUUAUGAUUUGAGGGUUUGUAAUCUUUACACCUUUAUAUUUCUAAUGUAG
rnacentral:lncRNA from 1 species